rnacentral:lncRNA from 1 species
AAGGAGAUCAAGCAUCCUGUUUUUAAGGAAGGGAGAGCAACGACAAUAUGGUCAUUCCAAUUUGAUCUGUCUUUCAUUCUCUCAAUUUGGUUCAUAAUAGGCAAAAAGGCACCUUCAAAAAAUGCCUCUUUCAUUUAUAACUGAAGCCAACUGUGAACAGCACGAGUAGUUGGGGUCAUUUGGAUUAUCCUAGGAAACAUCUGUGCACGUUUUUCCAGGACUAGGCUAGCCUCCCAAAUCCUGAGCAAGCUCUAGCAAUGCACGAGGCAACCUCCUUAUCAAUGUGGACAUCCCUGGAACUUAUACUGCCAAAGUAGUGACAGCUCAAAGGAAAGAGGGAAUGAAAGAAGGAAAGAAAAAAAAGAAGGAAGUGAACAUUUACUAAGCACCAACUGUAUGCUGGAUGUCAUGCUAAAUUGAUUGAGAGACUUCUUCAAGAUUGAUAUAUAACCUUUACAUCUAUUAAAAUAAUCAGGCAUAAGCAAUAAGGAGAGGAACAGAUUCUCAAAGUAUUAUUUAUACCUCAUGUAGAAGAAAACAAAUCAAACGUCCAAACAUAGGGACAGAAAGCUGUUAACUGUAGAAUGCUGUCAGACAACCAAGAGAACAAACCAAAAAGUGAAGGACAGUUGAUAUCAGAUGGGGAAUUGAUAGAGUACAGCAAAGGUCACCAGAAAUGUGGCUAUAUAAAGGAGAGAAGAUGGCAUUUUAUCAAAGAGAUGUUCAAAGGGCACAAGAAAAAAAAAAAACAAAAUGGAAAAUCAAAAGGUACAGAAAAAAAGUUGGAAGAAAACAAGAGUGUAACAAUCCAGUGACAUGAACAAAAAAAAGCCAUUCUAUGACAGAAGAGGGACUGAGGACUAACAUAGAAUGGAAGUAAUCUUUUUGAACAAUGAGGUUUAGCAUUUAUAAAGAGAGAGAAGCAGUAUGUGCAGUGAAAAGUGUGACUUUGUAAUUAAAAUACAAAGACUGAAAUAUGCUAUCUGUGUGCCUUUGGGCAAAUUACUUCAUUUCUCUGAGUUUCCAUUAUUUCUUUAUAAGAUGAGAAAGUUGGACUAGAUCACAG